GUGCUUUUACACUGUUGAUGGGAAUGUAAAUUAGUUCAUUGUGGAAGAAAGUGUGGCAAUUCCUCAAGGAUCUAGAACCAGAAAUACCAUUUCACCCAGCAAUCCCAUUACUGGGUAUAUACCCAAAGGAAUAUAAAUCAUUUUACUAUAAAGACACACACACGUAUGUUUAUUGUAGCACUAUUUACAAUAGCAAAGACAUGGAACCAACUCAAAUGCCCAUUGAUGAUAGACUGGAUUAAAAAAGUGUGGUACAUAUACACCACGGAAUACUAUGCAGCCAUAAAAAGCAAUGAGAUCAUGUCCGUGGGUGAAGGAAGGUUUGUGUCCUUGGAUGGUUCAAACUGGAAGCCACCAUUCUCAGCACACUAACACAGGAGGAGAAAACCAAACACCACUUAUUCUCACUCAUAAGUGGGGGUUGAACAACUAGAACAGAUGGACACAAGGAGGGGAACAACAUACACUAAGAACUGUUGUGGGGCGAGGGGAGAGACGAGUUAAUAGGUACACCGAACCACCAUGGCACACCGCAUACUUAUGUAACAAACCUGUAUGUUCUGCAUAUGUAUCCUACCCAGAACUUAAAGAAAAAAAAAAAGCCUCCAAAUCUUAACUCUUAGAAAAGGAAGACAGAUUGCUGGGAAGGAACUCACAGCAGGAAUACGACCCAAGUGGAGAAAAGCCAGUCAGCUGAGUCCACACGAUUUCAACAUGAUUGUACUGAAAAUACCUGAAUACCCAGAGCAGAAACAGGCCAAGUUCUCCAGGCAGCCUAGACCAGCUACAUGUUUCACAGAAGCCCAAGAACAGGAAACUAUGCAGAUGGACCCCCGACAAACAUGCAUCCUUGACAAUCCACAGUGCCUCAUGAGGAGGCACCUUGAGCACAUGAGUCACCUGGAGACUUCAAUGCACUGCAUCUACUGAGUACCUACUAUGUGCCAGGCAGGCUCUGGGCACUGGAGAAGAGAAGGAAGAGACAAGAUCGCUGUACUAAUGGAGGUCACAUCCUAGUGGGGGAAACAGGCAAAACCAGAUAUAGAGACACCUGCUAUGAAGAAAAGUAAAGUAUGGUAAGGGGCUUGGAAACAACCCAAGUGGGCAAAGGAAGAGAGCUAUGUUAGAUCGAGUAGUCAAAGAAAGCCUCUCUAAGGAAGUGGCAAUGGAGAAGCAACAGGACAGAAACGAGAGAGCAAACUCCUAAAUAUUGAGUAGGGAAAAAGUAUAGUAAAGAGAAUUGAAGCCCCACUCCUGAGAGAUCUGGGCUACAUCUAGGAAUCCAUAACUGUAGCGAACCACCAAAGCAACUGCAUCACGGCUCCAAGGGGCUCCUUUUGAGAAACACUGCUAUAAGGAUAAAUAUGGAAUCCUCCGUACCCAACAAUACUGGCCCAUCAGAGCAGCAAAGCAUCAACACCAAGACGUCCCCAUCAAGAGGCAAAGGCAAGGCUCCUGCCGAGCCACCCACCCACCUGCCCACACCCAAAUGGGGCUCCAAAGAUGGCCGCAUGGGACCCCCGCGGUGCCUUAACCAGCUGAGCACCACCAGCCCUAUUUGCCUUUGAGCAUGCAUUGUGCAUGACACUUGAGACUGGUUAUGCCCCACGAAAAACCUUUUUCUGUCUGCCCCAAGGCAACUCAGGCCCUUCUGGUACAUACACAAGAAAACCCCCACUAUAGUAAGUCACUCCCUACUGGACUGAAGGUUUCUAAGCUGGUACACAGUAGCAGCUCAGUAACUGAUGAAUUAUAAUAAAUAACAAUGACUAAUGACAGUAACA